UUCAAAACCCAUCCAAAUUCACCACCACCACCACCCCCCGCGACCCGCCUCUGUGGCGGUUUGCCCGGGGGGUCGUGCGGCGCCCCUCGCCGCCUCGCUCUGUAGUUCCCGCCAAUCCCCCUCCCCACACCACCCCUCACACCCCCCCCACGGGUGAAGCGGUGAGCCGGGGAGCUCCCCCCCCCGGUGGAGCCGCGUCGGUGCCCGGCGGAAGACGAGAGCUGGAGGUAGCCAACACCCUUGGCUGUGGGAAUUUUGGCUGAGAUGGCAAGGAGUGCUGCAACCCAAGUGUGGUUCUACCGCCAACUCCAUCGAUGUUUCAUACUGAGAAUGGCUUAAUCGCCUCUCUCCCUUGGAUUCAGAGAAACAGUCACUGAGGUGCCUACCACAACAAUGUAAUGCUGUGAAUAAUCAUAGGAAAGAUGUAGUGGACACUUCUCAUACCACAGACGAGUUUCAUGCAUGGUAAAUGCAUCUAACUGUGAAGAAUACACCAGGUACUUGAAAAUGGUAAAUGUUAAGAGUUUGGCAACAAUUUAAGGAAAACAAAUUGAUGAAGAUAAAGGCCCACAGAGAAGUUGAGUUCGUUGCCAUAUUGAAGAACAGUAGUUUUCUGACCCUAAUCUACAUGUUUCUGAAAGAUGGGCUGUCUGAAUUAAUCUUAAGAUAUUCCUGGAUUGUUUCUCCUUUGCUAUCCUCUCUCUUCAAAUCACUGGGUCUUCUCAGAAGGAGCUGGAAGAACGGCCAGAAUGUAAUAUUAGCAGGGGAGCCUGUCACAUGAAAUGUCCUCAGCAGGGAGCCGAUGUGCUUAUUUAGGAAGGGUUAGAGAUGUGAAGGAGUAUGGGAGAGCACCAGCACAGGACUGGGACAAACACGGCUUCUCUAGCUUCGCUACCAAGAAAAUCUCCUCUGGUUUGCCAAGAGUUUUGUUCCUGAAAACAAUACGAGCUAUCUCUCCUAGAUAUUUAGUAUAGAAAUUAAAACACAUAUAACGAGUUUCCAAAGAAAGUUAUCCUUCGUGCUUAUGAGCACUGUUGCUUACUGAAGAUCUAAACUGAGUUAGCAG